rnacentral:rRNA from 1 species
GACGAACGCUGGCGGCGUGCCUAAUACAUGCAAGUCGAGCGAAGUUUUUCUGGUGCUUGCACUAGAAAAACUUAGCGGCGAACGGGUGAGUAACACGUAAAGAACCUGCCUCAUAGACGGGGACAACUAUUGGAAACGAUAGCUAAUACCGGAUAACAGCAUAAAUCGCAUGAUAUAUGUUUAAAAGUUGGUUUCGGCUAACACUAUGAGAUGGCUUUGCGGCGCAUUAGCUAGUUGGUGGGGUAAAGGCCUACCAAGGCGACGAUGCAUAGCCGACCUGAGAGGGUGAUCGGCCACACUGGGACUGAGACACGGCCCAGACUCCUACGGGAGGCAGCAGUAGGGAAUCU